UAGGUUUCUGGUUGCCAGAAGUGAGUUGC
rnacentral:piRNA from 1 species